AGCGAACGCUGGCGGCAGGCUUAACACAUGCAAGUCGAACGCCCGGGCAACCGGGAGUGGCAGACGGGUGAGUAACGCGUGGGAACAUGCCCUUUGGUUCGGAAUAACUCAGGGAAACUUGAGCUAAUACCGGAUAAGCACUUAUGGGGAAAGAUUUAUCGCCGAAGGAUUGGCCCGCGUCCGAUUAGCUAGUUGGUGAGGUAAUGGCUCACCAAGGCGACGAUCGGUAGCUGGUCUGAGAGGAUGAUCAGCCACACUGGGACUGAGACACGGCCCAGACUCCUACGGGAGGCAGCAGUGGGGAAUAUUGGACAAUGGGCGCAAGCCUGAUCCAGCCAUGCCGCGUGAGUGAUGAAGGCCUUAGGGUUGUAAAGCUCUUUCGGCGGGGACGAUAAUGACGGUACCCGCAGAAGAAGCCCCGGCUAACUUCGUGCCAGCCGCCGCCGUAAUAC
rnacentral:rRNA from 1 species